rnacentral:pre_miRNA from 1 species
UCAUAUCGAAGACGACGACGACGACGACGACGACGACGGUGACGGGCAGCGAAGCGAAAUUCGAUUUUUUUGCGCCUUUGACUCAUCAUCGUCGUCGUCGUCGUCGUCGUCGUCAUCACAC